GUGAAUCCAGCCUUUCCAAAAUGCCCUGGAUUAAGCUAGACAGGCUCCUCCAGCGCACUAAAUCCUUAUGGAAGUUCUGUCGUUCCUGUGUGUUGCCAGCUUCCCCUGCCCACAGACCGUACAGGCUAAGAAUGGAAGCCUCCUGCCUCGAACUAGCCCUCGAAGGAGAGCGACUGUGCAAAGCUGGGGACUUCAAGGCUGGAGCAGCCUUCUUCGAAGCAGCGGUACAGGUGGGGACAGAGGAUCUGAAGACUCUUAGUGCUAUCUACAGCCAGCUGGGCAAUGCCUACUUCUACCUAAAGGAAUAUUCCAAGGCCCUGGAAUACCAUAAGCAUGACCUCACUCUAGCCAGAACCAUUGGGGACCGUAUCGGAGAAGCCAAGGCCAGUGGCAACCUUGGGAAUACAUUGAAAAUACUUGGGCAGUUUGAUGAAGCCAUCGUUUGUUGCCAGAGACACUUGGAGAUUUCUCAGGAGCAGGGAGACAAGGUAGGUGAAGCUAGAGCGCUGUAUAACAUUGGCAAUGUUUACCAUGCAAAGGGAAAGCAGUUGUCUUGGAGCAUGGCCCAAGACCCAGGGUCCCUGCCUCCAGAAGUCAAGGAGACGCUGCAGAGAGCUUCGGAAUACUAUGAGAGGAAUCUGUCUCUGGUGAAGGAGCUUGGGGACAGAGCCGCUCAGGGCCGAGCCUAUGGGAACCUUGGCAAUACCCAGUACUUGCUGGGGAACUUCAGCGAAGCCACGGCUUUCCACAAAGAGCGACUCGCCAUCGCCAAGGAGUUUGGGGACAAAGCGGCCGAGAGGCGAGCGUACAGCAACCUGGGCAAUGCGCACAUCUUCCUCGGCAGGUUUGACAUCUCGGCGGAGUACUACAAGAAAACACUCCAACUCUCCAGACAACUGAAAGACCAAGCAGUAGAAGCUCAGGCUUGCUACAGCCUCGGAAACACUUACACGUUGCUCCAAGACUACGAGCGAGCCAUCGAGUACCAUCUAAAGCACCUGCUGAUAGCGCAGGAGCUGGGGGACAGAGUGGGAGAAGGAAGAGCUUGCUGGAGUCUAGGAAAUGCCUAUGUCUCUCUCGGGAACCAUGACCAAGCCCUGCGCUUUGCAAGGAAACAUCUUGAAAUCUCCCAGGAGAUCGGGGAUCGGAAUGGGGAGCUGACGGCUCGAAUGAACGUGGCCCAGCUGAAGUCAGCCCUUGGCGAUGAGGAUGGGGAUGCAACCCGUCACUUCGCUGGCUACGAAGCGCAAGGAGCCAGGCCUAAGAGAAUCCAAAGGAACAGCAUGGACAGUUUAGACCUUUUGAAGUUCCCCUCCGAAAAGGAGCAGAAUGGGGAUAGCCACCACAUGGGAAACCUGAAGAUCACGGGAAAGGACUUCUUGUCUCUGCCUGUGAGAUCCAAGAAAUACCAGGAGAACCAGUCCAGUUCAGAGAGGAAAUCCCAGGAUUCCAAUACGUCACCACUGGAUGCCAGUGAUGUCCGACUCCAGGUGUCUCAAUCGAAAAUCAGCCGGGCCCCUUCAGACGAGGAAUGCUUCUUUGACCUGCUGAGCAAGUUCCAGAGCAGUCGAAUGGAUGACCAGCGCUGCCCGCUAGAAGAAUGCCAAACAGAGGCUGCAGAGGCUGCUGCCACCUCCGUGCCUGCCCUGGAAGAAAGAAUAUCUCAGUCCUCGUUAAUAGCAUCUCCGCAGACAGAGGAGUUCUUUGAUCUCAUCGCCAGCUCCCAGAGCAGGCGGCUGGAUGACCAGCGUGCCAGCGUGGGCAGCCUGCCCGGCCUCCGCAUCACUCACAACAACCUGGGGCACCUGCGCAUGGAGGGGGAUGCCCAGGAGCCAGGAGACGAGUUCUUCAACAUGCUCAUGAAGUGCCAGUCAUCCCGGAUAGACGACCAGCGCUGCGCUCCCCCGGACGCCGUCCCCCGUGGCCCCACCAUGCCUGACGAAGACUUCUUCAGCCUCAUCCAGCGCGUCCAGGCCAAGCGUAUGGACGAGCAGAGGGUGGAUCUGGCUUCGGCCCAGGAGGACCAGCAGCAGAGGAGACCCAGCUCCAGCUAAGAAUUGGGGGUUUGCUUUGAGGAAAGUGUCGUCUGUUGAAAAACUGAGCCCAGCUGCUCCGUGGCAGACGUUCCCGGGGAGGAGCAGCCCUGCCCCGUGAAGGGGGUGGGUAUAGAAGGGGGGGGGGUGUUUCCUGCCACUUUCGGGGGUUUAUCUUUCCUUGGAGUAGGGGAUGGGCACGUUCACAAGCUGGGGACAGUUUUUCUAUAUGGCUUUUUAUAGGCAACCAAUGACUGUUCUACAGCUGAGCAAAGCUAGGAGGAACUGCUCACGCACGGCUCGGGGCUGGGCCCAGAGUGCCAGGGACGUAGACUGAGACAACUGGUGAACUGGCUGCUGCAGCCCCCCCGCCAGCGGUGCCUGGGAGCGUCUGCACCCCCCUGCCGAGCUCUGUGAGGAAGGGGCAUCCAGAGGCAGAGGGUGCAACCGUGGAGAAGCUGAAGGCGGCCAGCAGUUAGUGUAACCCUGAGCCCUGGGUGCAGCGACCAUGGUCCUACGUGCCGUAAUGUAUUUUAUUUCUGCCACACGUGGGCUAACGGGGCGCCUCGCUUUUCUUUGGACUCCUCCCGGGUCUGGCCAGGAGCCGUUUGGCGCUGUCUUCACCAGCCUGCCAAGUAGGCGCUAGAGGCCUCCAGCCUGGCAGGCAUGGUGUGGGCUAAGCAUAGCAGCUCUUCAAAGUGACAGGAGCGCACAGGGAAGGUGCUGACUUUGGUAGGGACUUGUCACUUUCAAAUAGGCUGAAAAACAAUGCCCCUCCCUCCCCCAAAAGCCCUGAGCCCUCACACAGAAUGGGGCUCGCUGUACCGAGGUGCCACUUUGCACUGCUGCGGCAGCUGGGACUGGCAGGGAUGAAUCACAAGCUGUGCCCGUCCUCAGUGGGCCUUCCAGCUACCGCUCGUCUCCCCGAAGCCCAUGCCUGGGUCGAGGGCCGAGUCCCUGUCGCUCUCAGGAGCAGCAAGAAAUUCAGCCCGGCGGCACUUAGCCCAACUGAAUGGAUGCUGGGGAGAGGCACCAGUGCGCUAACGUGUGUAGAUGUCCUUGGUGCGAGCAGGUAGAAUUCACCCUCAGUACUGCCGGAUGGAUGGACCAGUUCAGCGGGGCCAUCGCUCCCUAUAUUGUAUUCGGUCAGAGGGGCCACCCCACCAGGCUCCUGCUGUUAAGGCAACAUGACCAGCUGUGGACUUGUGCCCCUGCAGUGCUUGGCCCGGCCACAAACUGGAAUCUGACCAAUCAGCUUGCGGAAGCGUGAUGUAAUUGCCAUAUACUUGAAUGUAUGAGCUUAUUUAUUUUUUACAUGUGCAUUUGCUAAUGUCAUUUUAAGGGGGAAUUUCAACCCCCCAGGUACUUGUUUUUUUCCUUAAAAAAAAAAUCUGCCAAAUGAAUUAAUAUAUAGAAAUACAUAGGGCUUGGGGAGGGGCGGGAAGGGUUAUGCUUAAUAAACAUUUGUGG